GACGAACGCUGGCGGCGUGCUUAACACAUGCAAGUCGAACGGAAAGGCCCUGCUUUUGUGGGGUGCUCGAGUGGCGAACGGGUGAGUAACACGUGAGUAACCUGCCCUUGACUUUGGGAUAACUUCAGGAAACUGGGGCUAAUACCGGAUAGGAGCUCCUGCUGCAUGGUGGGGGUUGGAAAGUUUCGGCGGUUGGGGAUGGACUCGCGGCUUAUCAGCUUGUUGGUGGGGUAGUGGCUUACCAAGGCUUUGACGGGUAGCCGGCCUGAGAGGGUGACCGGCCACAUUGGGACUGAGAUACGGCCCAGACUCCUACGGGAGGCAGCAGUGGGGAAUAUUGCACAAUGGGCGGAAGCCUGAUGCAGCAACGCCGCGUGCGGGAUGACGGCCUUCGGGCUGUAAACCGCUUUCGCCUGUGACGAAGCGUGAGUGACGGUAAUGGGUAAAGAAGCGCCGGCUAACUACGUG
rnacentral:rRNA from 1 species